CAUAACACAACAUUCACCAGUGCUGGCGUUGAAAGAGACUGAAAUACAUUUUCCACUUGCUGAUUCUUGACACUUGUUCAUCGAGAUGCUGUCAACUGCAGAAAUGUCCUGUAAAAAAUCCAGGCUUGAUCUCAAAUGGGUGACCACAUAAUGGACUCAAAUACCACCCAGACCAAAAGUGUAGAGCCUGUCAAUGGCUCAGCCCACUGCUACCACCCCUGCGCUGACUCAGGAGAGGCGAAGACGAACAGACGCUGUCCUCCGACGCGUGUGCCGUCAGCCGACCGCUUCUUUACACACUGCAGACUCACCAUGCAGCCACCCAGCGCUACUGCGUCAGAGGACAAUGCAGCCCUGGGCAGUUUACAGGCAGGCCCGCAGGUGGCUGGCCAGACAGCAUGGGUUGCUGGUGCUCAGUGAACAAAGUACACCCUGGCCGACCUAGCCCUCCCUCCCCCUGGGCGGCUCUCGGCCAAUUGUGUGCUGCCUUCUGAGAGCUCCCAUCCUCGGUCGGCAAAAGAAUAGCCUGGACUUGAACCGGCGACAUCCAUCCUAUAGGGCGCAUUCUGCGCUCCACGCAGAGUGCCUUUACUGGAUGCACCACUCAGAAGCCCACAUUUUAAUGUUUUACAUAGAGAAUAACUUAACACAUUGUACGGCAACAUGGCCUGGACAUGGUUUAACACAAAUUAUUGGUAAUCUAGUACUUGAUAUUUCAUACAUUCAAUUAAUUAAGUUAAUAUUAUCAUGAAUAUCAGACCAUUACUUUAGUUCCACAUGCAAAAUUAGAACUAAACACCAAACCUCUGAUUAGGUAACAAUUGAUAAACAAUGUUAUUAGGAAGCAAUUUAAAAUAUAUAGUUUUUAUUUUCACAGGAACUGUAUCCUGUACUUCCACUACUCGUUAUAAAAUGGUAUCCCUCGAAACGUUCUGCUUCUAACAUGUUUAGGGCUGAGUUGAAUGAAAACUCUUAAUUUUGCUGGGCAAUGUUAAAAACAAACUUAUGAAAGUGUAAGCAAUGUAUUUAUCGGACCCUAUAAUAAAUAAUGUAUGAUGGUCAUAUCCCAUUUCCUGUCUGCCAUCCCUUAUAACAGUUGCACUACUAAUGUCAUUGUAGAUAUACAUUGUUGUAAUCCUAACAUUGUAUUUUAUUUCACAUUGUAAUCUAGUAGUAGAAUUUGCUCUUACUAGAAACUACACUGUAUUUAAAUAUUGACCUUGAAUUGUAACCCUGUGUUGCCCUGUAACACAUUCAAGUUGCCUUGGAUAAAGGUUUCUGCCAAAUA